CACUACGUAAUAAACGCGCUUCUAACUCGAGUACCGGAUCUCAUUCACGACAGACUCGAACAAAGAUACUGAGGAGAGAGCUCGCACUCGAGAAGCGAAAGAGUACGAUCGAAACUCUUCUACUGGCUUCUCCGUACGUAUACCUGCAAGUUGUACAAAAUGAAAAAAGAAGAGAGAAGAGAGGAGAGAAAAAAAAAUUGGAGAAAAAGAAGAAGGAGAAGGAAAACUUCGAAAAAAAAAAAAGAGAAAAAAAAGAGAAAAAAAAGAAAAAGAAAGAAACGAAUUACUUCUAACGGUUGGUUAUAGUUUGAAACAAUAUUAGAGAACAAUCUCGAUGAGGAUUCUUAUCAAACGAGAAAGAUGGAAAGGCAGUUCGUUGUAAGAAAAAUUCAACGAUAAAAAAAGGAAAAGAGAGAAGAAAGAAUAAAAAAAAAACUCAUAAUGAUUUUUAUAUACCAUUUUGAUACGAUGGAUACAUUAUUAAAUGAAUAAGAGAUAAAAUAACGUCCUUCUAAUGUUGAGCGUUCACCUUCUAUGAUUUUCAAACUCCGAUUGGUACCAUCUCGUUCUUUCUUAAACCUAUAUAAAACAGAAAUGAAAAGUUAAUGAAAAAGAAGAAAAGUAAAAAAAAAAAAGAGAACAAAAAAAUGGUCGAACUGAAAAUUGAACCAAAGUCUCAGUAUCGUACGUAUAUCGUUCAUUUGUCGAGCAAUCGUUCAUUUGUCGAGAUGAUUGAUUCUACAUAAAACAAAAACAAAAAAAAAAACAAG